rnacentral:rRNA from 1 species
ACUGUGCAAUGCGCGAAAGCGCGACRCGGGRAGCUUGAGUGUCUUGGCAUAGCCAAGACUUUUCUCAUUCCUAAAAAGCAUGAGGAAUAAGUGCUGGGUAAGACGGGUGCCAGCCGCCGCGGUAACACCCGCAGCACGAGUAGUGGUCACUUUUAUUGAGCCUAAAGCGUUCGUAGCCGGUUUUGUAAAUCUUCAGAUAAAGCCUGAAGCUUAACUCCAGAAAGUCUGAAGAGACUGCAAGACUUGAGAUCGGGUGAGGUUAAACGUACUUUCAGGGUAGGGGUAAAAUCCUGUAAUCCCGGAAGGACGACCAGUGGCGAAAGCGUUUAACUAGAACGAAUCUGACGGUAAGGAACGAAGGCUAGGGUAGCAAACCGGAUUAGAUACCCGGGUAGUCCUAGCUGUAAACAUUGCCCAUUUGAUGUUGCUUUUCCGUUGAGGGAAGGCAGUGUCGGAGCGAAGGUGUUAAAUGGGCCGCUUGGGAAGUAUGGUCGCAAGACUGAAACUUAAAGGAAUUGGC